GGCCCACCUGUCGGCGCCAUCUUCUACCUGCCGCGCCUUGCCCUACCCUCUCGCUGCAACGGCCGCCACGAUUUCCCCCCGCCGCCCCGCCCUGGUGCAUCAUCCCGCACCCGCGCGCCCAUCCUUAUCCAGCCCGCACCCGGCCGGCCUUAUCCCCUCACGCGCAGAGCUCCACCGCAUCCGUUUCAACCCCACACCGGCCCUUUACCCCGGCGAGCAAUUGCUCUGCCGAAGCGCCCCAAUCGGCGACUAAGACGCCACCAAUGGACUCACCUCGACUCGGCGAACACGCUGCGAUAUCCCCUGGGCGAGCGCAUCGCCCGGAGCCGCCUGUCGCCGUCGACCUUACGCCGCCGCCGCUUCUUCUUCGACACCGGCCACAUCCUUCGCCCGCCGACGAGAAAGAGUCAAGACGAAGAAUACUUGAGGCCGGGGUGUGCAAGAUCAGGAAGGUGGUGCAGGAGGCAUACUCGCGAAGCCAUGGCUGGCAGCUGCUACGACGACGACUGGGUGGUUGAUUUGGCAGUGUAUCAGUUCUGGUUUAUGUGUGUGUGUUGGGUGUCUGUACUGAGGUAUCACUUUUGCUGAGUUUUGCUUUUGCUCAACUGUAUGCCAGAUCAGGGGAUCUUUGGCCGUUUAUCUGUAUUUCUCUUUGUAGCUGGUUUUAGUUUUGCCCUGUGCAAAAACUGGAACGCUGUAAUAACUGUUGAGCGGUUUCUCUAAUGGAAAUCGGUGGGGAGGCCCACUAGUUCAAAAAAAAAAAUUCCAAGAAAA